CAAUUAAGAUAAUUUAUUUGUUUAAUUUCCAGUGAUUUUGAAUUUAGGGUUCUUAUUUUUAUCCUUUUUCUAAUUUUAUCCUUACUUUCCAAUGAUUUUGAAUUUAGGAUUCUUAUUUUUAUCCCUUUUGUAAUUUACUGUUUGACAGAAACAGAGGAAAUCCGUCAUGUUUAGAAAAAAUUUACCCUCCCUUUUUCGGAUCUUCGUCAUCAUCUCCAGCUUCCAAUGGCUUCAAUGCCAGUUAAUGCAAAAGACCAGAUCAUUAUGCCGAAAAGUUGUAUCGACUGCGCUGUUAGGUCUUACUGGUGGUGUUGCGUUGAGUGUCGUUGAUGACCUUGCUAUCUAGUAUCUACCAGGGUUGUAGCAGUUGAUGCAAGGACCUUUGCGGCCGCCAGGAGCUUUCCCGCACCAAGCACAUUUUGAUAGAGGUUGGACCAACGACAUCUUUAUCGAUCCAAGUGUAAUGUAUUGCAACUUUGCUUAAAGAAAAUGGUCAUUGAAGAUGACAUUAUUGAAGUUUCCAACAGAGAGGAUGGAAAUGCAUGGCAAUGCAGAGGAGUGACUUCACUUCCCUUUUGUCCAACAUGCUCAUUUGCAAGCUACAUAUGUAUACAUAAUCACUUGCAAGCAUGUUUUUAUUGGCUCUGUAUAAGUCUUUUUUUGCUCUUUAACAAAAUUAUGCAAUCUUAAUUAAACUUUAGAUCUUUUGGUUGCAGUUUUUUCUAGAGGAAUAUGGAAGAGGUUAAAACCUUUUAUGUCUAUU